UCCCUGAGGGCUCUGAAGACUGUUCCUCCCGGAACUUCUGGCUCUGCUGCUGACUUUCUGGGCUUUGCUACCAUGUACCAGCUUGGGGGGCCUCUCCGCUCCCCAUCUUUUCAACUUCCUCCUGGGUGCUGCUCUCCCUCAUUAGACAUGGCUCCGGUAGGAUCAGAUGACGUCAUGCUCACGCAGUAACAGCGCUCUGCAAAUUUUGACGGUGCUACGUAAUUGACAGCUAAUAGCACUUGGACUACUGUGUCAUGAGGCGGCAAGCUGCAGUGAGGCCCUUUGGCCACAAGAGGGAGAGCAGCUCCCACUGCUAUAAUAGCGAGGAAGGUGGGUUUUGGUCCCGCCCCUCAGUGGAGUUUUCAGCGAUGCUCAGUACCUGACUCCCGAUCCUUUGAGGUUUCGUUUUUUUGCAAGGAAAAAAAAGCCUGCAGGGCUCACAGUUCAGAGGGAUUAGUCAGAAGAAAACACCGUUUGCAGAGAAAGACCUCGGCACCGACAAUCUCUCUCCCCCAUCAGAUCUGCGCCUCGCCCCGACCCCACCCCAAAUCUUGCCCCCGCUUCCUCCGCGGAGGCUGCCUCCGCUGCUGUGGUUUUAAGGGGACGAGCUCAGGGAGGCGCGGCGGGGAUCCUCACCCUGAGCAGGCCGGAUUUGGAACUAGGGGCCCCGGUUCGAAUUUGAGCCUUGUCCAGUGAAUUUCCGUUUCCAACCCUCCAAGCUGGACGAAAUGGCUUGAGGGGGCUUUUCCAGCUCCGAAUCUGUGAUCCUUCUCAGAAUCGGGGGCAGGGCUCCGGUAACAACAGGCAACAUUUAGAGAUGGCGCUUUAGGGUCUGUAGAUGAGACAAGAUUUGAACUCAGGUCUUCCUAACACCAAAACCAUCAAUCUAUCCACUGUGCCACCAGCUGGCUCUGUGCCUUUAAAAGCCAGGAGGUCCUAGGGGGCCUUUGGGGCUUGUCAUUCAGCAGUGAGCACGGGAAUGCUUAAGAAAAUGCUGCCUGAUCAUGGAAGGACUGAUGGCUUUAGCUUUAGAGAGCUGACUAGACAGCCACACCUGUGGAGAGCCUCCUGCCCCAGCCUCUGAGCCCCUGGGCAUCUUCCUUCCUGUUUGCGGAGUUGGUAGUGACUGUGGAGGGUUUGGUUUAAGUUAACUGAGGCUCAGGAAGGGCAGAUCAGCUUUGGCCGUGGCACUGAAGAUGGUUCCCUACAAGUAUAAACCCAUUUGACAGUGGGACAGUGGAAAGAGUGGGAGUUGAAAUCAGAAGACUCAGGGCUCAAACCUUGCAUCACCAUUACUACCUUGCAGUCUCAAGCUGUGCAUAAUUUAGAUGGUGUUUCAGCAAGUGUGGUGUACAGGCCAUGGAUGGCAGGAAUGAGGGGGAGAGGGAAAGGAAAGAUAUCAAACCACUGGGGACGUAAAGGACACCAGCUACCACGCCAUCACGGACACCAGCCGCUUCAUGGUGAUGUAAAGAGCAAAGCAACUGUUUUAAGACUGUAAGCUGCUUGAGGAAGAGGGCUGUGUCAUUCAUCUUUGCAUACACAUUGCCUAGCCCUGUGACCUGCAUGUGUAUCACAGAUCUGGGAUUUUUGUCCCAUGAGACCUCUCACCCGUACAAAGAUCCCAGCCCUUCUAAGGCUUAGUCAAUGGACCUUGAGAGUGGAUGCGGCUGGAACAGGUAUCACUCUGUGGCUAGCCUGGAAGCUGAUCAUGGCAUCAUUGGGUCAUAUUCCAGAGUUGGGAGGGUCAUUCGAGCUCCUCCGUUCCUACCGCCUCAUUUUACACAGGAGGAGACUGAGGCUAGGGGGAUCACAGACCUGGCAGGACCUGGGAGGUCAUGCAGCCUCACCCCUUUGUUUGAGGGCUGAGGAAGUGGUAAGGGGCAGCAGUGAUAUCAGAACCCAGCCAUCUGCUUCUCCACUUCAUCAUGUCGGCUUGAGCAGCAGUCAUAACCACAUGUUAGAACCUGUCUGGGCUCAUGCUCUCCUGGAAUAGCCUUCCAGCAACCAGGGUCACAUCCAGGCUCCAGUGAGGCAUUUCAUUAGAGGCUUUGUAUACAGUACAUGCUUAAUGUCUGCUGAAUUAAGUUCGGACUAGAAAGGAGGGACUCUAGGAGAUGGAUAUAGGGGCUGGGAUGGGGCGGGUCCAUUCCAAGCAUGGCUGGGAGGAGAAAUCAAUCAAUCAAUCAACAAGCGUGUAUGAAGCACCUACUGCGGGCCAGACUUUGUUCGAGGCAGUUCCUGUUCUCCAGGAGCUUCCAUUCUACUGGGGGAACAGCCCAUCCAUGGACAGUUACACACAGUCACAAAGGGAGGCACAGACUAAGGUGUGGAGACUGGGGGCGAGGGAGACAAGGCGACACAGGAGAGGGUGGGAAGUAAGGAGUCACCCUGCACUGGGAUAUUGGGGCUUGGAGGACGCAGUUUAAUGGGCAGGAACAAAAGCUAGCUAGCUGCCUUCUACUCCAGUGCCUCAGUUCCUCCUGCAGGUUUUCGGCUUUUUCUUUCGAUCAUGCCUAUAGAGGGAGCAAAUACAUGCGAAGGUUUCUUUGUGGGGUUGGUCACUAUGGAUUCCCGGGCAGCUGGAGGAUGACAUGGACGCUGCUGUCUGCCUGGGGAGCUGCCUGUCCAUUUAUUUCCUCACUUAUUCAUUCAACAAACUACGGGCCAGGCACUACGACAGGAGCUAAGAUGCAUCUCAGCCCUCGAAAGCUUCAGUCUGGUAAGGGUGAGAGGAAGACAAGGGUACACAGAACCAUGAGGCAAGAUGGUAAGUAUGUGAAAAGACAGAGGAGAUGGCUGCUAGCCAGAGGGAGCAUGGGAAGGAAGCUCCAUGGAGCUAGGCCUUGAAGGAUGGGCAGGAAGAACACUAGCUCAAGAGUCAGACGACCUGGAUUCAAUGCUUACUGCCUAGGCGACCCUUGGGCAAGCAAAUCACUUAAGCUUUCUGUGACUUGGUUUCCCCAUCUUGAAAGCAAAAACAUUGGACUGAAUGGACUCUGAGGUCCCUGGGACUGUAGAAGGCCUUGAAUGCCAAAUUGAGGGAAAUGGACUUUAUUCAGUAGGGGAGGGAAGAGAAGAAGGAAGAAAAGAAGGGGGGAAGAGGGAAGGAGGAGAAAGGAAAGAG